UGGAAUAGUACUAAAAUCGAGAUCGCAGUUCUGGGUUACAGGCCCUGUGGAUGCAGUUUGACAUCAUUGGCCUCCGGGAGCUAUCCCAGAAUGCUCCCUUGUGACCACUCUGGACAACACUCUCAACUCCGAUGCACUAGCCAGGUAGGCAGUAAAAGC